AGAGUGAACGCUGGCGGCAGGCCUAACACAUGCAAGUCGAACGGCAGCACAGGAGAGCUUGCUCUCUGGGUGGCGAGUGGCGGACGGGUGAGGAAUACGUCGGAAUCUGCCUAUUUGUGGGGGAUAACGUAGGGAAACUUACGCUAAUACCGCAUACGACCUACGGGUGAAAGCGGAGGACCUUCGGGCUUCGCGCAGAUAGAUGAGCCGACGUCGGAUUAGCUAGUUGGCGGGGUAAAGGCCCACCAAGGCGACGAUCCGUAGCUGGUCUGAGAGGAUGAUCAGCCACACUGGAACUGAGACACGGUCCAGACUCCGUACGGGAGCAGCAGGUGGGGAAUA
rnacentral:rRNA from 1 species